rnacentral:tRNA from 1 species
GGGGCUGUAGCUCAGAUGGGAGAGCGCCUCCCUUGCACGGAGGAGGUUAGGGGUUCGAAUCCCCUCAGCUCCACCA